GAAAAGAGGUCCCUGGCAAAAGAAUUAUGAUAAUUUGGGGUCCGUGGCUUAAAAAAAAGUUUAAAAAUCCCCUGAUUUAGAUGAUGUACAUUUUAUCAUUUUUAUUUAGUUUGAUUAAAUAGCAAUUCACGUUCAUCACAGUACUACAUUUACCAUCACCUCAGUUCUAGAGCAGCUAGACGUGUCUUCUCAAGCAGUUUAUUUAAGUGUUCCCAUGUUCCUGCACAGCUGACAGCAGAGGAUGUGGUGUCAAGAUAUCCAGGACAGCCCAAUGUGAAAUGACACAACACAGGUGGACAGAUAAAAAACAGUGGAUGAACGAAGGUCUUAAGCGUUUGGGACAAGAUGAAGAAGUCAUACUGAUUUGGAACGGCAUUAUGACACAGUUGUCAUUUUUGGGUGCACUAUUCCUUUAAGAAGGCAACUCACUGACAAUUCUACUAAAAGUCAGUGCAAGAACAUCUGUUCUGAAGCAUUUUAUCAGGAAUUGUUUUCUCAUUGCAUCUGCUUCUGUCUGAGCUCAUUUGCACAAUGCACUGCUGACCUUGAGACUAAGCUCUUCUGAGAGCGUUCAAGAAUAAGAAAUUCUUUUAGGUAUAUCCCACUUGAUGUGAUAUUGGAACGCCAGCUUAAGGUCAUUAGGUUAUUGCUGUUUUGUAUCCACAGUGAGUACACAGAGAACUUUAAUAGAUUGCCAGAAGAUAGAAGAGAUUGUAUUUCUGAAGCUCGAUGCAUUAGACUCAGUACAUCUUGUGUGGCAGUUGUGUUAGUUAUGGGUUCUUAUUCACAUGAAAAUGUCAAAAGUAUUUUUAGAAGCUCUCACUUUUUGCUGGGUAAUAUAUCUCUUGUUUAUAGUCUGUAACUGAAGAGUUAUGUAACACACGUAUUAAGGAGGCAAACUUCUGUGAAUCAACAUUAUCACGGCUCAGGAUCAGAUGUGUCUGCUUCCGUCACCUGCUCUUCUCCGCGAUAACACAUUCAUCCCUGAUAUCUAACCGCAAUCCCGACUUGGCGUAAACUUGGCUUCCUUUGACUCUGCCCACAGCUUUAGUCUCGACAGCUGCCCGAGCGUUUUGAAUGUCCACCACAUUCCGAGAUCGGCUCAAAGGGAGGUGACAUUUCAAGUAUUUCCAAAGCCUCUGUUUCCCUCCUCUGGGAAAACGUUGCCCUUUUGCUCUGUUCCAGGACCAGCUAGCUCUGUCCAGAUGCUUAUCGUUAACAAUUGUGAGAUAACCAUUAAAGCUGCUCUUGCAACAGAAUAAAAGGGCAACAUCCGCCAACACCUGUUGUUUCUAUGUUAUCCACCACCCCCCGGCCCAUCCUGCACUGGACAUCCGCCUCCACGGGCCACUAGCACCCUGCCGAGCCAAACAACAUGCUGCACUUGACAUUCAUUACUUAUUGAUGCGCAGGGCUUUAAUUGCAUCUGGGGAGCUUUCAGCCUGCUUCCUCCCAGUAGCUGGCCCUCCCAUACCGACCCAAACCAGCUCAUUCAUCGUCUCAUGCUGGGCAGUGCUGGUUGACUUGCCCUUUAGCAAUGCAUGAACAAGGGUCUGCUGAGUUAGUGGUUCAUUUCCUAUGAAUAUUUCUCAUCAAAUAAAUAAAGACACUUAAAGAGUUCACACUGUAAAGAUAAUUUUGUGGCUUGGUAAUUCUUGGAAUGAGGAAUGAAUUAUGUAUUUAUUAAUUUCUAACUUCUGCAAGUUAAUUUAUUUCAAGUCAGAUUACUUAAUCUAGAUCAUUAGAUCAAUUGGCAUAUUUAGAAUGACAAUCUCACUUCUCAGGUAAAAAGAACAAUAAAUACUUGUAUGUUAUUGUGGUCACUAACCUUAUUUUUAUUCAUAAUAAAAGCUGUAACAUCAAGCUGUAACACAUGACUUUCCUAUGAAAUUUUUAGACAGUUAACCAUUUUAAUAGUCAAGCUAUUCAGUUGCAUUAGCAGCGUCUGGUGCUAAAUCCACCCACAAAGCGUAGCACCUCAAUUCCAGAGCCAAAACAUAUGGGAGGCAAGAAAUGAAAGCUCUAGCGUAAGUUCUGCCAGGAAGACUCAAUGUUACGUCACCAAUUAGUUUAGAGCUAACCAAUCAUUAUCUUGCACUUGGAGUAUAAAAAAUUGCUUGACACAUGUUUGAGUCCGCAGAUGCUGACGCAAACCUUCACCUCCAUCCUCCCAACCACCACCAGGAUGGUCCCCGUCCAUACCUCCCAGGGGGUUGGCUACGCCCCUGCCUUCAUCUUCAGGCAGGAAAUGCAGAGUCCGCAACCCUUUAGGAUCUGAGCUACGGACGGGGCCUACGCCAAAGAACUUUCUUACAACAUUUUGCUUGCUGAUUGUCACGUUAUCUUACCUCCCCGAGUCUUUCUGGUAGAACUGCUUAUUGUAGGCUGCAGGUAAUAUUUCAUGACGUAUCAUUGCCUUGUGAGAACAGAGCCAUGGAACAAAGAACAAACCAAGAAGUGUCCUGCCUUUAGUUUACUGUUACAAAAAAGAAAGAAAGAUACGAACGACUAAAUAAAAUAAAAGUGCAAACAUUCCUGAUUUGUAUGAUGGACAAACAAUCAAGCUCAAUCGAUCUAAGAGGUCAGGGUUGGUUUAUAGUUCUCAGAGGCCACAUUUACAACUGUCUGCACACCUGAGCAGACUGGCAAUUCUUUAAUAUAGAGCAAACUGUGUCAGACAAAAUAAAUAUUUCUGUUGCAGCCUUGGAUUAAAGAAAAAAAGGUACAUUGAUUUUCUUUGUACUCUAUGGCCCUGUUUACAUCUGGUGUUAGGAUGCGUUUUCGUCAAUCCGAUCACAAGUGGACAACACUAAAUACAGGUGUAAACAGUGUCUAAACAUUUUGAGCUUAUCCACUUUCGACCACUUCCAGAGGCAGUCGAAAACGCAUUCUUCAAGAUUACUUUCAUAUUGUAGAUCAGGGGUCGGCAAUUAAGUUUGGCAUCGGGCCAAAAAAAGAAUAUUUUCACCACUAGAUGGUGGGCCAGAACAUAGUCAAAUGAUCAUUUUAAUUAAUUAAUGCAACUAGAAUUGCCUGUGACAGACUGUUCCAGUGUCUUUUGUAACUGGUAGUGAGCUGUUACUCUGUGUUAAAUCCUGUAGUAGGACAGUCAUUAACAAAAACCCACAGUUGUGUGGCGGUGUCCGGGUUUUACACUGGAAAAAUUAAUAAAGCGGAGUAGUGACCUGGCAAGUAUCUUCAUUUACCAACUUGCAAAACAGACCGCCUUGCUUAAACACACAUAUGUGGCAGAUGCGUAAUGGAUAAACAUAACUAAAGAGGACUUGAAUAAGCCCAUUAAUGGCAUGUUUAAGUCAUGCUCUUAACGAACUAUGGUUUAUUUCCUCUUUCCAUAUUGUGAAUAAUAAAUGUGUAUAAUUUUAAUGAAAGACAACUAUGCGUUCUUACCUAGUUUUGUGAAUGCAAAGCCGAUGUGUCUUAUCUGCAACGAAGUUGUCGCUGUUUUCAAAGAAUAUAACUCCGUGUCUACACCGGACGUGAGCGGCGCGAUGCGACGUGUCAAAAGAUAAUAGAACCCAUUAUAAUCAGUGAUAUUGACUAUACACUGGAUGCGCUGCGACGCGAGUCAUGCGACACAACACAUUCCCGACAGUGAACGGAUUCCCCAUUCUGUUUUUGACAUAGUCCAAGUGCUUUGCAACGGUCGGUUUGUCGUGUUCAGUGUAGACAGCUUUUAGCUAUUGCGGCGCAACACUAUGCGAAAAAAGUAAUGUCUGGUAUAGACAUGGUAGAUAAUAUUAGACGGCACCACAAGACGAAGAUCUAUUUCAGAACCAGCCGCUAUCAAAAUAACAUGGCUGCUGGCGCGGGCCAGAUAUUAUUGCUGGCGGGCCAGUUUUGGUUUCGCCAACCACUGGUGUAGAUGUUCAUGUGUUCAAAUGCAUUCAAACAGCCACAAAAGACCACCUACUCUCCGCCUACUGACCUUGCUGGCUGAAGACCCAAGUUGGGUUUGAAGAAAACGUACCAAGCACAGUGUUCUUUCAUCAUGCCUGAUUUCUAAAAUGCACUCACAGCGUUCGGCGUGGCCUUGCAGCUACUCAGCCCGAUCUCCUGGCACUGUGUGUCUAGCUAUAGUACGAGUUUGCCAUGUCUGUUGUUUUGAGUUUCAUAGUCAUGCUUUUCCACUCUAUUGAUUUUAAUAUGUAUCUCUGUGUUUCUCUGAAUAGUAGAGAAACUUCAGAAGAAAAACUUCUUGCCUACAUGCAGACACUGAAGUAGGUGAAGAAAUAGAGGAAAGUUUUACUUAUUUAACUUUACUUUUGUUGAUUUUAUGUGGCAAAAAUACCAGUUGCAAAAAUCAGUAAUGAGAAACAGAAUUCUUUGAUUUAUAUUCUGACAUGGUCUUAUUCCAUCUAAAGACAUUCUUUUUUUAUAUGGCCUGUCAUAAAUAAGAGUUUGCUUGUCCCAUAUAAAGUGUGGUAUUUAUUCAUAGGGAAUGGAAAGUCAUGAUUGCAAUCCCCUGUCACAGCCACACAUGCCCCCUACAUAUUUUCCAUGGGCAUCUAAUUAAUUGUGCAGUUUUAUGGUAAUAUGGCCUCAUUCCAAACAUAAUUUGAGUGAUCCUUCAAAGGCUUCCAUUCCUUGGACCGGGUCUGAGGUCUGUGGGGAUGGGCCGGGAGGAGACUUAAUUUUACACAUGCAAAGUUAACUAUGGCACUUCAAUAGAGAACUUUACCUUCGGGAGCGUGCACCAUUAUGAAGAUAUGAGCGAUGUUCUAGAUACACUUUCACUUUUCUUGUAUUGCAUAAACUGCUCUGUUUUGAUUCUUAGAUCCUGCCUGUAUUUCCUGGAAGGCACAGAAAAUGUUUUAUAGGUAACAAAGCUAUUGACUGCUGUAUAAAUUGAUAUUCUUUCAUUUUGCAGACACUUUUAACCAAAGCGAAACCAUAAAAAUGGAAUUUGUGUAAAUGUCUCACAAAUUUACUGUGAAAAAAGGAUCAUGUCACUAUUUAAUGUGAAUAUCGACUCGAACUGGUCACGUUCACAGAAUGUUGAAAAGGAAGGAAGGGAAGUCCAUGAAAUUCAGCAGUCACUCAAAAGAGAAAUGUUGUAUGUCCAAAACAUAAAUAAAUGACAUCAAUUCAAUCAUUAAUUUUGACUGCUUUUAUUCCCUGAUUAGACAUAUUUCACUGAAAUAAGUUCAAUACAGUCAAAACUAUUAGGAUAACAGUCAUCAAAAUUGAUAAAUUAGAUCAAAAUACACUGCCUGGCCCAAAGAAAAAAAAAGUUCAUUAUUUACAUUAAGAGGUGCAUCAAUUUUUGGUCAAGAUCUUGUAUUGACAAUGCAAGAGGUGAGCACUCUGUAAAGUCUUCUCCAGCACAUC